GAUGAGUCAUCCAUGUUCUUCCAGUUUGGCCCAUCCAUAGAACAGCAAGCCUCUGUCAUGCUCAACAUCAUGGAAGAAUAUGACUGGUACAUCUUCUCCAUUGUCACUACCUACUUCCCUGGCUACCAGGACUUUGUGAACAAGAUCCGCAGCACCAUUGAGCACAGUUUUGUGGGUUGGGAACUGGAGGAGGUCCUCCUGUUGGACAUGUCCCUGGACGAUGGGGACUCAAAGAUCCAGAACCAGCUCAAGAAACUCCAAAGCCCUGUUAUCCUCCUCUACUGCACGAAGGAAGAGGCCACCUACAUUUUUGAGGUAGCCAACUCUGUGGGCCUGACGGGGUACGGGUACACGUGGAUCGUGCCCAGCCUGGUGGCAGGGGAUACGGACACAGUGCCAUCCGAGUUCCCCACCGGCCUCAUCUCGGUCUCAUACGAUGAAUGGGACUAUGGUCUUCCUGCCAGAGUGAGGGAUGGAAUAGCCAUAAUCACCACGGCUGCUUCUGAUAUGCUGUCUGAACACAGCUUCAUCCCCGAGCCCAAGAGCAGCUGUUACAACACCCAGGAGAAAAGGAUUUACCAGUCCAACAUGCUCAACAG